CUCACCUUCUCCACUACGCAUCGAGCAUUAUCAUUGUCUUCUUCUACAACUCUCAUGUUUUUGUCUUCUCCACUCAAAUCGUCGUUGAAUUUCUGUAAGAAGUAUAAAAUCUUCUCCUCAACAUUGGCAGUGUGCAAUUGUUGUUAGGUCGGACUCAUUCCUAUUUGGGUUUAUUUUUUAGUCCAACUUUCAAGCCCACUUGUAUGUCAUUUUAGGGUGAAGAGUGCAGCAUGUGGGUUGAGGUUCUAUUUUCAUUUCUCAUAACACAAAAAAGCCUAAGAGUAGCCAUUCCCGCGACUACACUACGCAACUUCAGAAAAUUGGCAUCUUCCACUUUAUUAACCGUUGGAUUUGGGUGAUAUUUGAACAAAAGAUGAACCUGAGUGCUAUUAGAUGCAAUUGAAAGUGAAGAAAAACAAAAAUGGCUAGGUUGAAGAAGCAACUGAGGGAGUUAUUUUCUAUAGAGGACAUGGGAGCUUCCAAACAGAUUCUUGGUAUAAAAAUUCAUUUGUGACAUAAAAAAGAGAAAGCUUUGGUGUUCAUAGGAACACUACAUCAAGAAAGUUUUGCAGAGAUUUUGAAUGAAAAAUGCUGAUGUUCUGGGCUAUUUGGUGAAGUUUGCAGGGGGAGCUGUGGCAUGAUAAUCAUAAACGUAGAAGUGUGUUGCAUUGUUGACUACUGAAGCAUAGUUCAUUGCUAUCACAGAAGAAAGUAAGUAGCUGCCAUGGAUAAAGAAAUUCUUUCAUGAACUUGGUUUAGUUCAAGACAAGUACAUGUUUUGUGAUAGUCAAGUGGCAUUCAUCCCGGUAAAAACACUACAUUUCAUUGUUUGCGACAUAGACUUAAAGAAUACAAAACCCUCUAUUGUUUGUAGACCCGAAUCCGCCAACACUGAUGGAAUAAGGUUAUAUUUAAUUGCUUUAUUUUUUAUCUCAA